rnacentral:rRNA from 1 species
GAUGAACGCUGGCGGCGCGCCUAAUACAUGCAAGUCGAGCGAACAGACGAGGAGCUUGCUCCUCUGACGUUAGCGGCGGACGGGCGAGUAACAAGUGGAUAACCUACCUAUAAGACUGGGAUAACUUCGGGAAACCGGAGCUAAUACCGGAUAAUAUAUUGAACGGCAUGGUUCAAUAGUGAAUGACGGUUUUGCUGUCACAUAUAGAUGGAUCCGCGCCGGAUUAGCUAGUUGGUAAGGUAACGGCUUACCAAGGCAACGAUGCGUAGCUGACCUGAGAGGGUGAUCAGCCACACUGGAACUGAGACACGGUCCAGACUCCUACGGGAGGCAGCAGUAGGGAAUCUUCCGCAAUGGGCGAAAGCCUGACGGAGCAACGCCGCGUGAGUGAUGAAGGUCUUCGGAUCGUAAAACUCUGUUAUUAGGGAAGAACAAAUGUGUAAGUAACUAUGCACGUCUUGACGGUACCUAAUCAGAAAGCCACGGCUAACUACGUG